CUGUGUAAUUAGAACUAUGUAAUAGAAAUAUUUACAGAAGACUAUAUCUGCCAACAUGAGAUACUCUACCACCAUAACUUAUAUCAAUGACUCUUGUUCUAUCAUCGUGUGCAUUAUAAAUAGUGCAAAAUUUCAAGAAAUUUCCAUUUUGAGAUAUAAGAAAUCAAUAUGCUGGGAAAACUAAUAUCAAACUCUGAAGUAGAUAUAUUUCAUUUUAUAUAUAUUUUAAAUGACCUUUAACUAAAGGUUAAAUUGGAUUGACACACUGAAGAUAAAUUUUUUUAUUAUUAUCAUCAUUAAAUUAUUAUUUUGUGACUAUUACUAUUCAACUAACACUACAUCUGAUAAUAUAAUGAUAAACACAUUCCUUUUUUAUAUUAACUAGCAUUUUUUUCGAGUUUCUUAAAGCUUUGUUUGCAACUCUGGAUGAUUUAUGUGGGACAUGAUAAAACCAAUCUCCACACAGGCUAAUUUGAGACCUGGCAUCAUUGUCUCUCUCUGAACAAUCUGGAAGCUUUUUUAUGGUAGUGAAUUGCUCAUUUGGGGUGCGAGGAUUGAAGCAGGCAAGUGUCUGGGUCAUUAUGUGCUCAGCCAUGUCUUACAUAGGUGUUUGGAUUUGUAUAGCACUGGUUAAUCUGUAAUGUGUUUUAAUUUAGAGACAUAAAUUCUGGCCAGAAUUCUAUGCUUUAAUUAAAUAGUGUCAAGGGAUUGAUCGCAGCAUAUUGAUCCAUAACUGAACAUUUUAUCCAUGAAGUCACAGGUCCAGUGAGGUAAGUUACAUUUUUAAUUCCAUUCUGAUUAUAGUCUAUUAUCAGGACAAUGUAUAAUUUGCAUGUUUUUCAUUUGAGAGUAAUGAUACAUAGCCAUUGAUAAGCCAUGUUCCUCUUCCUUUCACCCCAUUAAGCUACAAGUUUGGAUAAACAAGUGUACUUAAUUUCAAUUUCAUAUAUUGUUUGAUGGCACCCCUGAGAAUAAAGAGGCAGGUUUCAUAAGACAAUGGGCUAACUUAAAAUCAGUUUUUGGAUACUGUUUCAUACAAACUGAAUACACUUAACUAGAAAAUGAUAUCUCUACUUUUUCCUUUCAAAGAUAAUGACACUCCUUUUUUCCCCCUCAGUCAUCAUUGCCUAGAAUACCCUACUUCAAACAAUGAAACUCACUUUCAAUCUAUCAUCAUCUUUCACUCUUCAGUGAAACCCCAUGUAGCUUCCAGAUGUGGUUUCAGGAUUUCUCUAUAUUGUUGGAGAGAACUGAAAGUCAUAGAGGACACCAAGCAUCACGCCUGACCAGCAAUGGAACAGCCCUACCUUAAUGUUUAUCACUUCGCUUCCACUUUCCUAAUUUCACUCAAGUUUCUAUUACUGAGAAACUCAAACUUGUACUAAAACAAAGAAGAGGAUUCCAAGGAAAGUAUGUCCUUUAAGUGAUCAUUCAAAGACUUUUGUCUCCAAGAAAAUAUCAUUUUUUCCAGAGAACCUAAUGAUAUAAGCUUAACUCUGAGAUACAUCACACCCAUGAUUACGCAAACACACAUACACAGAUGCACAAACUCAACUCAAAGAUCUUGCCAAUAAAACUAAGUGAAAAAGCUUUUCCUGUAUCUUUAGAACAUAUUGACACUUUGUGGCCCACAGGCAUAAUUAGUAAGGUAAUUGGUAGGAGUUAGAGUGCAAAUCAGCCCUAAUAACAACAUUCCUUUCAUACUCUGAAAGAAAGAUGAUCUGCUUAAUCAGAUCCUAUGUGAAUAAUGAAUCUCACAUCUGCCUGGUCACUUCUGAGGCCCUCUGCUCCUAUUAGAGGAUUAGUCAAGUACUCAUGUGUUAAAGCUGCUACCCACUAGACCUCCAAGUCACCUAAUAAUCAUUAAUAUAAGUAAAUACUAAUGGCUAUGAAACUAGAGGAAAAACAUUUUACCCCAUGUGAAAUCUCUUUCCAAAGAGACAACAAGCUCUUAUUUUCGAAAUAUUUAGGCAAAAUUAUUGUACCAAUCAGUUUUACCAUUUGGAUAAAACUACUUUCAAUUUGGAAUUUUCUGAUGUUUUCUUCAUGAUUAGAUUGGGAUAAUAUAUAUUCGAAUACAAUAUUAAAAAAUAAGGUUUAAGACUGUCACUCAAUUGGGUUAUAAUUAUUAUUUAUUUUUGCUAUUUAGUCAUUUAGGGCUCAAGAGAAAUCAUUGCUGCUUUAGCGCCUGGAGAAGAGCUACAGCUCAGGUGUUCAAUAGAAGAGAUGCACACAGGCAUCUAUGUUGUCAGCAAGCUAGCACUAUCAAAGCAUCUGGAGACAACAAUAGGAGUCAAGGAUACCAUCUCUAGCACAGAUCCCCGAACAAGAACCUGAGACCUGCCGAACAGCAGGUGCCAAAGAUGCUGCUGUAACACCACAGCCCUCCCAUCUUCCAUCCUCCACUGGCGCUGAGUGGCAGUCCCAUGUGACAGGAAGUGGAGGCAGAGCUGGGCCAGCCCAGGAGCCACGUGCUGGAGCCA
rnacentral:lncRNA from 10 species